CCUGUGCCUAGAGGCAUUGCAGGUGUGGCUGCUGUGUCAUGGUUGCGUGUAUCCAUAGGUGACAGAGAGGAGAGAGACUGUGUCUACUCUUAAGUGUUGUGACCUAAAACAUCUGAAUGAUUAGAAGCCUAACAUU